AUUGAACGCUGGCGGCAGGCUUAACACAUGCAAGUCGAGCGGAGUGAUGGUGCUUGCACUAUCACUUAGCGGCGGACGGGUGAGUAAUGCUUAGGAAUCUGCCAUUUAGUGGGGGACAACAUUCCGAAAGGAAUGCUAAUACCGCAUACGUCCUACGGGAGAAAGCAGGGGAUCUUCGGACCUUGCGCUAAAUGAUGAGCCUAAGUCGGAUUAGCUAGUGGGUGGGGUAAAGGCAUACCAAGGCGACGAUCUGUAGCGGGUCUGAGAGGAUGAUCCGCCACACUGGGACUGAGACACGGCCCAGACUCCUACGGGAGGCAGCAGUGGGGAAUAUUGGACAAUGGGCGGAAGCCUGAUCCAGCCAUGCCGCGUGUGUGAAGAAGGCCUUUUGGUUGUAAAGCACUUUAAGCGAGGAGGAGGCUACUAGUACUAAUACUACUGGAUAGUGGACGUUACUCGCAGAAUAAGCACCGGCUAACUCUGUGCCAGCCGCCGCCGUAACAC
rnacentral:rRNA from 1 species